AUAAAAUAGAGGCUGAUGCAGCCUGAAUAUGGUGAUGAGAGUGUGAGUAUGAGCAUGAGUGUGCAAGGCGAUGAGAGUGUGAGUAUGAGCAUGAGUGUGCAAAGCAUGAGUGUGCCCACCCUAUCGCCCCACCCCCACCAACACCUUGAUCUUCAUUGAUCAGGUUGAACCUCCACCAUCAGCACCACUGGGAUCUACCCUAGAUGAGAAAAACCUCCCUCCUGCAAAGCACCCCCGUUUGGACCCUGUGCAGUAAAGCCAUUGCAUCACCUGAGGACUAGUAGGUUCAGGCUCAGAGUCGGUUCCCAGGGGUUCGGUGCUUGGAUGUGAUGAAUUGUUCAGAAAAACAAAGAUGAGAGGUUCACCUCCCUGGUCACUGAUUCAUCAAAGCCGAUUCUAAUCAGA